rnacentral:lncRNA from 14 species
GUUGAAGCAUCAUCUCUGUCACAGUCUCUCAUCUCUCCAUUGCCAGGGAAGAAGUAACACGAAUGAUUAAUGCAGAGAGCUUCUCUCUCCCAGCUAGUUUUCAUCCUGGGAAUGGUAGAAUGAAUCCUUACUUUUCAACUUUUUCUUUUGUACCAGUCCAGGACAAAUUGUAGAACUCCACAUUCAAAGGUAAUGGUGAAGAACUAAAAAUAUU